rnacentral:rRNA from 1 species
UACGUAGGGUGCAAGCGUUAAUCGGAAUUACUGGGCGUAAAGCGUGCGCAGGCGGUUUUGUAAGCCAGAUGUGAAAUCCCCGGGCUCAACCUGGGACCUGCAUUUGUGACUGCAUCGCUGGAGUGCGGCAGAGGGGGAUGGAAUUCCGCGUGUAGCAGUGAAAUGCGUAGAUAUGCGGAGGAACACCGAUGGCGAAGGCAAUCCCCUGGGCCUGCACUGACGCUCAUGCACGAAAGCGUGGGGAGCAAACAGG